rnacentral:lncRNA from 1 species
ACAGCAGGUCUAAUUCUAGUGCAGACUGAUCAUCCUUCAGCUGCCUGACACCCAGCCUGUAGAAGAUGUUCAGAAUUAAGCAGAGACCUGGGCUGAAAAGAACAUCAGGUGCUGUCUUUCCACGUUUGCCUCAGUCGCGUGUUGAUGAAUGUGUAUGAACUCUCACAUGCCAUAGUGGCUGGCCUCACGCAUCUGAUUCCAGUCGUCACGGCAUUGGAAUCGGAGAAGCCAGCGGUUAUUGAAGUGUUGAAGAAAACCGAUCAAUUGAAUUUCUUAGGUGUGGAAGAUUCCCCAGUUGAUGGGCAAGAAACCUGGGGAUUUAGCUGACUCUUGUUUUGGCCACUCAGAUGUUUGUGCGUCAAGAGAAUCUAUGAGCCAAAAGCAACUCCUCCAUCUUCCACUGGAAUGACCCCAGGAGACUGCUUUUCUCAAACAGCUUAACUUUAGGGGACUGCAAGGUAGUCCCUAUGAACAACAGCGAGACUUGAAGUUUUCCAAGAGCCUCUAUCAGAGUUCCCCAAGGCACUGUUCACCAAGGGUCAUUCUUUUGACUGUGUUCCAACAGAUGGCGAUGAAGUUGUGAAGAAAA